GCAGGACUGGCGGAAUGGUAGACGCGACAGACUCAAAAUCUGUUGUUGAAUAGACGUGUGGGUUCGAGUCCCAUGUCCUGCA
rnacentral:tRNA from 1 species